rnacentral:rRNA from 1 species
GACGAACGCUCGCCGCGUGCUUUACACAUGCAAGUCGAACGGAAAGGCCCCUUUGGGGGUACUCGAGUGGCGAACGGGUGAGUAACACGUGAGUAACCUUCCCUUGACUUCGGGAUAACUUCAGGAAACUGGGGCUAAUACCGGAUAGGAAUCCUUGCUGCAUGGUGGGGGUUGGAAAGCUUCGGCGGUUUUGGAUGGACUCGCGGCUUAUCAGCUUGUUGGUGGGGUAGUGGCUUACCAAGGCUUUGACGGGUAGCCGGCCUGAGAGGGCGACCGGCCACAUUGGGACUGAGAUACGGCCCAGACUCCUACGGGAGGCAGCAGUGGGGAAUAUUGCACAAUGGGCGGAAGCCUGAUGCAGCAACGCCGCGUGCGGGAUGACGGCCUUCGGGUUGUAAAACGCUUUCAGCAGGGGCGAAGCUUGUGGUGACGGUACCUGCAGAAGCAGCACCGGCUAAGUACGUG